AUGAACGCUAGCUACAGGCUUAACACAUGCAAGUCGAGGGGCAGCAUGGUCUUAGCUUGCUAAGACUGAUGGCGACCGGCGCACGGGUGAGUAACGCGUAUCCAACCUGGCCCGCAGUAGGGAACAGCCCGGCGAAAGUCGGAUUAAUGCCCUAUGUCUCCUUUGCAGGCAUCCAAUGAGGAAGAAAGAUUUAUCGCUGCGGGAUGGGGAUGCGUCUGAUUAGCUUGUCGGCGGGGUAACGGCCCACCGAGGCGACGAUCAGUAGGGGUUCUGAGAGGAAGGUCCCCCCACACUGGUACUGAGACACGGACCAGACUCCUACGGGAGGCAGCAGUGAGGAAUAUUGGUCAAUGGGCGAGAGCCUGAACCAGCCAAGUAGCGUGCAGGACGACUCGCCCUAUGGGUUGUAAACUGCUUUUAUGCGGGGAUAAACUUCAGCACGUGUGCUGUUUUGCAGGUACCGCAUGAAUAAGGACCGGCUAAUUCCGUGCCAGCAGCUGC
rnacentral:rRNA from 1 species